rnacentral:rRNA from 1 species
GACGAACGCUGGCGGCGUGCCUAAUACAUGCAAGUUGAGCGCUGAAGGUUGGUACUUGUACCAACUGGAUGAGCAGCGAACGGGUGAGUAACGCGUGGGGAAUCUGCCUUUGAGCGGGGGACAACAUUUGGAAACGAAUGCUAAUACCGCAUAAAAACUUUAAACACAAGUUUUAAGUUUGAAAGAUGCAAUUGCAUCACUCAAAGAUGAUCCCGCGUUGUAUUAGCUAGUUGGUGAGGUAAAGGCUCACCAAGGCGAUGAUACAUAGCCGACCUGAGAGGGUGAUCGGCCACCAUGGGACUGAGACAAGGCCCAAACUCCUACGGGAGGCAGCAGUAGGGAAUCUUCGGCAAUGGACGAAAGUCUGACCGAGCAACGCCGCGUGAGUGAAGAAGGUUUUCGGAUCGUAAAACUCUGUUGAUAGAGAAGAACGUUGGUGAGAGUGGAAAGCUCAUCAAGUGACGGUAACUACCCAGAAAGGGACGGCUAACUACGUG